rnacentral:tRNA from 1 species
CGUAGUGUAAGCUAAAAUAAGCUUUCGGACUCAUAUUCCGAAAAUGGAAGUUAAAGCCUUCCCUCUACUA